CCGAGAUAGGCGUACAAAUCUUGCCACUGGCAUUUCCCUGGACGUUAGCGAUGAUGGGCAACCUAGCGACGACGCUCGGCGUGUAGAGGUGGUGAAUUCCGAUUCGAAGGGAAACCACCCGCAC
rnacentral:ncRNA from 1 species